UUACAGGUGUCAGCGUAGAAUCCUUCCUUCAUUGUUUCUAAUAUGGACCAUUAACCAGCACGGGGCAGUGGAGAGAGAUCUCAUACACAGUUAUUCAAAAACCUUAACGAAUGCAUGAGGACAAAGAUCUUCUUUGUGUUAGUGAAAUAAGAACUUAGCGGACUCGGAGUAAACAAAUACAGGAACAAUGCCCAUGUGUUCCCACGAACCACGGGGGCUCUUGAAGAGUCAAAGAGACGGCUCCCCCACUCAGCGUCUCAGCACCCUCUCCGUUCCAUCCGACCAGUUCACCGAACUUCUCCCAUCAAUCCACCUAACCAGUCUUUCCUCCCUUUCUAUCAACCCUCACUCGUCCUUCCCAUACCCCCUCAUCCCUCAUCCCUCGACCCCUUCCCCUCAUCCCUCGACCCUUACCCCUUCAUCCCUUCAUCCCUUCUACCCGUUAACCAUUUUUCCUCCCACAGCAUUCCACAUUCAUUCAUAAACGUGUAAUAAACUUGUCUUAAUCCAUA